rnacentral:rRNA from 1 species
AUUGAACGCUGGCGGCAGGCCUAACACAUGCAAGUCGAACGAGUGGCGGACGGGCGAGUACUGUGUGGAAAACUGCGUUACGGAGGGGGAUAACUAGUGGAAACGGUAGCAAAUACAGCAUAACGUAGGAUGUGCCCUGAUUGGAUUAGCUAGUAGGUGGGGUAAAGGCUCACCUAGGCGACGAUCCCUAGCGGGUCUGAGAGGAUGACCAGCCACACUGGAACUGAGACACGGUCCAGACUCCUACGGGAGGCAGCAGUGGGGAAUAUUGCACAAUGGGCGCAAGCCUGAUGCAGCCAUGCCGCGGGUAUGAAGAAGGCCUUCGGGUUGUAAAGUACUUUCAGCGGGGAGGCGUUACCCGCAGAAGAAGCACCGGCUAACUCCGUGCCAGCAGCCGCGGUAAUUC